CUCAGGCUCAGCCAUCUCUCGCUCCCUCUACAUAUCCUCCUAUCCAGAUUCUCUUCUCAUCAAUCUAUCUCCCCUCUUCUCAAAUUUCAUCCUGUGCAGUAUCCUAGCAUUCAGAUAAUCUAUGUGCACUAUUUCUUUAUAAUCUUCACCUUUCAAAUCAACCUAUGAGUCUCUAAAGAUCAAUGUGAAGACCAUUGCAUAAGGCAGGCAAGUCCUAGACCGAUUCGCCACAUCUUUUAUGUUUUGUAAUAUUAUAGCUG
rnacentral:lncRNA from 1 species